rfam:Corchorus olitorius cultivar O-4 contig09620, whole genome shotgun sequence.
AUAAGCGUUGGGGAGCUGUGAGCAAGCUUUGAUCCAACGAUUUCCGAAUGGGGAAACCCACCUUCACCAUUUCUCUCGUUGUUCGAGCAAUCGGGCAGUGAGUGAGGUGGAUAAGGUAUCACCGAGUUGAAUACAUAGACUUGGUGAAGCGAACCCGGGGAACUGAAACAUCUAAGUACCCGGAGGAAAAGACAUCAACCGAGAUUCCGUUAGUAGUGGCGAGCGAACGCGGACCAGGCCAGUGCUUGCAUUUCAGUUAGCAGAACACUUUGGAAAGAGUGGCCAUAGCGGGUGACAGCCCCGUAUGCGAAAACGAUGGAUGAAGACUCGAGUAGGGCGGGACACGUGAAAUCCUGUCUGAACAUGGGGGGACCACCCUCCAAGCCUAAAUACUCGUACAUGACCGAUAGCGAACACAGUACCGUGAGGGAAAGGUGAAAAGCACCCCGAUGAGGGGAGUGAAACAGUACCUGAAACCGAAUGCUUACAAGCAGUAGGAGCCUCUUUAGGGGGUGACUGCGUACCUCUUGCAUAAUGGGUCAGUGACUUAAUGUACCAUGCGAGCUUAAGCCGUUAGGUGUAGGCGCAGCGAAAGCGAGUCUGAAUAGGGCGACAGAGUAUGGUGUAUUAGACCCGAAACCCGGCGAUCUAGGCAUGACCAGGUUGAAGGUGCGGUAACACGCACUGGAGGACCGAACCGGUGAAUGUUGAAAAAUUCUCGGAUGAGUUGUGUUUAGGGGUGAAAGGCCAAUCAAGCCGGGAAAUAGCUGGUUCUCCGCGAAAUCUAUUGAGGUAGAGCGUCGAAUGUAUGCCGUUGGGGGUAGAGCACUGGAUGGUUGCGGGGGUCGCGAGAUCUACCAAUACUAACCAAACUCCGAAUACCAACGAGACUUGUUCGGCAGACAGACGGCGGGUGCUAAGGUCCGUCGUCAAAAGGGAAACAGCCCUAACCUACAGCUAAGGUCCCCAAGUCAUCACUAAGUGGGAAAGCAUGUGGGAAUCCCAAAACAACCAGGAGGUUGGCUUAGAAGCAGCCAUCCUUUAAAGAAAGCGUAACAGCUCACUGGUCUAAAUAAGGGUUCCUGCGGCGAAAAUGUAACGGGGCUAAAGUGAUGCACCGAAGCUUAGGGUUCAGAUCUUUGAUCUGAGCGGUAGCGGAGCGUUCCGUAAGCGAGUGAAGCUCAAGGGUAACCGAGGGUGGACGUAUCGGAAGUGCGAAUGCUGACAUGAGUAGCGAUAAAGAGGGUGAGAUGCCCUCUCGCCGAAAGACCAAGGGUUCCUGCUUAAAGCUAAUCUGAGCAGGGUGAGCCGGCCCCUAAGACGAGCCCGAAGGGGGUAGUCGAUGGGAACCACGUUAAUAUUCGUGGGCCUGGUGGUGUGUGACGGAUCUCGUGUAUUGUACAACCUUAUCGGAUUGGUUGUGCUUUGAAGAGGUUCCAGGAAAUAGCCCCACCGUAUAGACCGUACCCGAAACCGACACAGGUGGUCAGGUAGAGUAUACCAAGGCGCUUGAGAGAAGUAUCCUGAAGGAACUCGGCAAAUUGCCUCCGUACCUU